rnacentral:tRNA from 1 species
UGUCUCAGUGGUUAAGUACUUGGCUGCUAACCAAAAGGUUGAUGGUUCAAAUCCAUC